rnacentral:rRNA from 1 species
GACGAACGCUGGCGGCGUGCUUAACACAUGCAAGUCGAACGGAAAGGCCCUGCUUUUGUGGGGUGCUCGAUUGGCGAACGGGUGAGUAACACGUGAGUAACCUGCCCUUGACUUUGGGAUAACUUCAGGAAACUGGGGCUAAUACCGGAUAGGAGCUCCUGCUGCAUGGUGGGGGUUGGAAAGUUUCGGCGGUUGGGGAUGGACUCGCGGCUUAUCAGCUUGUUGGUGGGGUAGUUGCUUACCAAGGCUUUGACGGGUAGCCGGCCUGAGAGGGUGAACGGCCACAUUGGGACUGCGAUACGGAGCAGACGCCUACGGGAGGCAGCAGUGGGGAAUAUUGCACAAUGGGCGGAAGUCUGAUGCAGAAACGUCGCGUGCGGGAUGACGGCCUUCGGGUUGUAAACCGCUUUCGCCUGUGACGAAGCGUGAGUGACGGUAAUGGGUAAAGAAGCACCGGCUAACUACGUG